GGUAAAAAGAGCAAAAAACCUGUCUGGAGUGUUUAGACUUUGAAGUUUAAGUCGUUAAACAACAGCAGAGAAUCCACAAGGAAAAAAGCAAAACAAAACCCACUUUCCUCUUCCCUAAAACUCUCCAUUUCCUUCUCAAACUUCGCCAGGUCUGAAGACCAUGAAUGGAUCCGGAACCGGCAACCGAUGCGUGCAAUUCCUCCUCCUCCUCCUCCUUCUCACAAUCCCGUUGCUGUUUGAUUCAGUUCGGGCAAAGGACGACGACGGAAGCAACAAAGCCGGUGGCUCUUCGGUAGCGCUGAAGGUAGUUAUUGUGUUGCUGGGCGUGGCGGCGGUGGCUGGGUUCGGUGUGUUUCUGUUCAGGAUAUGGCAGAGGAAGAAGAGAGAGGAGCAGCACGCCAGGCUUCUCAAGUUGUUUGAAGACGACGAUGAGCUCGAGGUCGAACUUGGAAUUAGGGAUUGAUUGAUUGAUUGAUUCAAUUCAGGGCAUAUUUUAUUCCCUGUAGAGCUGAUCCCAUCCCAGCAGUUGCUUGGAGAUGAUCCAUCACCCAUGAAGUUGCUACCUCUUACAUACUCCCAAUCCCAUAGGCUUAACAUCAACAAGCAAUCUGCUUUUGAAACUGCUGGGAAGCCUCCAUGGGUAAUACCCUUUCCUUUGAACUUCAUAUAUAAAGAAAAAUGCUCACGUGGUGCUGUCAUAUAAGUAGUUGUUAGUUUCCAAAUUGCUUCCUGACCUUCUCUGUUGUAUUAGCGUCCAUUUUGACACAUUACAUAUGAUUCUCCUAAUGGGACUACCAUUUUAUGCAAUGCUUUUUCCCUCUCCUACAUUACGAUACUUAUUUGAAUUUGCGUUGCAGAGUAGAAGAUUGUA